GCUGUGGUGUCCGAGUGGUUAAGGAGUUUGACUCGAAAUCAAAUGGGCUCUGCCCGCACAGGUUCGAAUCCUGUCCGCAGCG